AUUGUACGGUGGAACGGAGUAUUGCACCCUCGCAGCUGAAGCACUCACGUUAGCCUGUCCUUACCGACAGGGACAGGUGAAGUCAUAGUCUCAGGUGAACGUUAACGUACCAGUCAUUUAUGGUCAAAAUCACGUCAGUAAAAUGAAUAGUCAAAACUCUGUGCAGGAACUCUGACAAUAUGGUGAAGUUAAGUCGGUUGCAGUUUGGCCUUAAAAAAAACUGUAGAAAUGAUCAUCUUGAUUGAAAUGGAGGAGCCAGUUAGCAGUUAGCGGUUAGCAGUGAGCUACUGUUCCAGUAUUGCUAAUGAUAUAGAGCUAAGCUGCCGUUUUGGAAUAUAGAUAUUAACCACUUUACCUCCAUGGAAAAAGAGGAGAAAGACCUUCAUCUUCAAAUAGCGCUGUUCUAAGAAGACAUGCUUAUCGCGAACCCUCAGGGCACCUGUGUUAAUCCUCAGGAAAAGAUGACAUCAAAUGGAAGCAGAGCAAGGGAUUAUGGGGGAUGUUGUGGAGCCUGAUCAACUGCCACUGAGACCUGGAUGGACAGGAAGGAAUCCUCCUUAGACAAGCUGACAGAUGUACAAUCCUCUGUGCGACUUCCGCUGCUCCUCUCCCGUGUUCAGACUCGGUCGGCUCUCAAAGCCCCUCCCCUAUGCUACCACCUUGACAUUCCCAGACAGGUAAAUAUGAACAGUAUCUACCCUGAUUACCCCGAGCAGAAGCGGAAGGCGAGGACAGCAGCACAGUGAAGAAGAUUACGCACAAAGCUUCCCGUGACAAGUUCAAAGCCAUCUGUUGGGGUGAGGAAAACCUUGGUGACAAAACUCAGGAAUUUAAUAAUCACAAACAAAAAAGAGAGUGGCACAGCAAAUUUCCCCACUUUACCCUUUAACACAAAGAGAGAUAUGUGCAGAAUCCUCAGUGAUGAGUUCAAGUGAGGGAGCACGUUUUUAAAAGCCCAAAAUUAAAUUGUUCCUCUGUGACUUUUACUCUUUCAAUACGAGAACUCUUUGAUGUAUCUGCAAAAUGUGCAGAGGAAUACUAGACUAUUCACAUGGCACACUAAAUGUUCCGAGAAAG